rnacentral:rRNA from 1 species
AGUGAACGCUGGCGGCAGGCCUAAUACAUGCAAGUCGAACGGCAGCACAGCAGAGCUUGCUCUGUGGGUGGCAAGUGGCGGACGGGUGAGGAAUACAUGGGAAUCUGCCCAGUCGUGGGGGAUAACGUAUGGAAACGUACGCUAAUACCGCAUGCGCCCUUUGGGGGAAAGCCGGGGACCUUCGGGCCUGGCGCGAUUGGAUGAGCCCAUGUUCGAUUAGCUAGUUGGCGGGGUAAAGGCCCACCAAGGCGACGAUCGAUAGCUGGUCUGAGAGGAUGAUCAGCCACACUGGGACUGAGACACGGCCCAGACUCCUACGGGAGGCAGCAGUAGGGAAUAUUGGACAAUGGGCGCAAGCCUGAUCCAGCCAUGCCGCGUGAGUGAAGAAGGCCCUCGGGUUGUAAAGCUCUUUUGUCCGGAAAGAAAAGCAUUCGGUUAAUACCCGGGUGUUCUGACGGUACCGGAAGAAUAAGCACCGGCUAACUUCGUG